GUGCCAGCCGCCGCGGUAAUACGUAGGUGCAAGCGUUAAUCGGAAUUACUGGGCGUAAAGCGUGCGCAGGCGGUUUUGUAAGACAGUGGUGAAAUCCCCGGGCUCAACCUGGGAACUGCCAUUGUGACUGCAAGGCUAGAGUGCGGCAGAGGGGGAUGGAAUUCCGCGUGUAGCAGUGAAAUGCGUAAUAUGCGGAGGAACACCGAUGGCGAAGGCAAUCCCCUGGGCCUGCACUGACGCUCAUGCACGAAAGCGUGGGGAGCAAACAGGAUUAGAUACCCUGGUAGUCAAGGGCG
rnacentral:rRNA from 1 species